GACAGAGGGUGCAAACGUUGUUCGGAAUUACUGGGCGUAAAGCGUGUGUAGGCGGCUUCGUAAGUCGGAUGUGAAAGCCCCGGGCUCAACCCGGGAAGUGCACUCGAUACUGCGGAGCUUGAGUCUUGGAGAGGUUGGUGGAAUUCUCGGUGUAGAGGUGAAAUUCGUAGAUAUCGAGAGGAACACCGGUGGCGAAGGCGGCCAACUGGACAAUGACUGACGCUGAGACACGAAAGCGUGGGGAGCAAACAGG
rnacentral:rRNA from 1 species